GACGAAAGAGGGAGGAGUGCUUAACACAUGCAAGUCGAACGGAAAGGCCCUGCUUUUGUGGGGUGCUCGAGUGGCGAACGGGUGAGUAACACGUGAGUAACCUGCCCUUGACUUUGGGAUAACUUCAGGAAACUGGGGCUAAUACCGGAUAGGAGCUCCUGCUGCAUGGUGGGGGUUGGAAAGUUUCGGCGGUUGGGGAUGGACUCGCGGCUUAUCAGCUUGUUGGUGGGGUAGUGGCUUACCAAGGCUUUGACGGGUAGCCGGCCUGAGAGGGUGACCGGCCACAUUGGGACUGAGAUACGGCCCAGACUCCUACGGGAGGCAGCAGUGGGGAAUAUUGCACAAUGGGCGGAAGCCUGAUGCAGCAACGCCGCGUGCGGGAUGACGGCCUUCGGGUUGUAAACCGCUUUCGCCUGUGACGAAGCGUGAGUGACGGUAAUGGGUAAAGAAGCACCGGCUAACUACGUG
rnacentral:rRNA from 1 species